rnacentral:lncRNA from 1 species
GCCGGGCGUGGUGGCGCACGCCUUUAAUCCCAGUACUCGGGAGGCAGAGGCAGGUGAAUUUCUGAGUUCCAGGCCAGCCUGGUCUACAAAGUGAGUUCCAGAACAGUCAGGGCUACACAAAGAAACCCUGUCUAAAAAAAAAAAAAACCCUCAGCUAUGUCAUGCUUAUAAGUCAAAGGUUUUUGGUUUGGGUUUGGUUUUUCAAGACAAGGUUUGUGUCUGGAACUCACUCUGUAGACCAGGCUGGCCUUGAACUCAGAAAUCUGCCUGCCU